rnacentral:rRNA from 1 species
CUGAGCUACACAGGUGCUGCAUGGCUGUCGUCAGCUCGUGCCGUGAGGUGUAUGGUUAAGUCCCACACGAGCGCAACCCUCGUCGCUAGUUAAUUUCCCUAGCGAGACCGCCUCGCAAAACGAGGAGGAAGGUGGGGGAUGGCGUCAAGUCAGCAUGGCCUUUAUACCCUGGGCGACACACACGCUACAAUGGGUGGUACAGUGGGUAGCGAAGGAGCGAUCCGGAGCAAAUCUUUAAAACCAUCCUCAGUACGGAUUGCAGGCUGAAACCCGCCUGCAUGAAGCCGGAGUUGCUAGUAACCGCAUAUCAGAAUGGUGCGGUGAAUACGUUCUCGGGCCUU